rnacentral:rRNA from 1 species
GUGAGGAAUAUUGCGCAAUGGAGGCAACUCUGACGCAGCCAUGCCGCGUGCAGGAAGAAGGCGCUACGCGUUGUAAACUGCUUUUAACCGGGAAGAAACCCCAGGACGUGUCCUGGGUUGACGGUACCGGAGGAAUAAGCACCGGCUAACUUCGUGCCAGCAGCCGCGGUAAUACGAAGGGUGCAAGCGUUAUCCGGAUUCAUUGGGUUUAAAGGGUGCGUAGGCGGAGCGUUAAGUCAGUGGUGAAAUCCUGCAGCUUAACUGUAGACUUGCCAUUGAUACUGGCGCUCUUGAGUGCGCUUGAAGUGGGCGGAAUGUGUCGUGUAGCGGUGAAAUGCUUAGAUAUGGCACAGAACACCAAUUGCGAAGGCAGCUCACUAAGGCGAUACUGACGCUGAGGCACGAAAGCGUGGGGAUCGAACAGGAUUAGAAACCCCAGUAGUCC